rnacentral:lncRNA from 1 species
UCUCUGUCCAAGUGUUGCUCUGUGGAAUUGAAUGACCACUGGGACAAUUUUCUGUACCCGGAGAAAGCGUCCUCUAGAGCUUUGGCACAGUUACUCUGAUCUGGGCUUUUUCAAAGGGCCCAGGCUAUAGUUUAGGAGAUGGUGGUCAGGAAGCCCUCAUGAAACCUUGUCAGAAGAGCUGAAGUCCCCUGAGUCAGAAGGUCAAUGACAGUAACUUCCAAGGCUCGUCAAUGAGCCUUUUUGUCUUGCAGGUCAUCUUUCACUUUAUACCCAUAACUAACUCUGGCUCUUAUGGUCCCUGGUUACUGGUGUAAGGGCUGAAAUUUAUUUUGUCUCAUUCUGGGAAGACCCCUGUUGAUCUUGGGAAUGUCUGAAAAAAUACUGUGGUGUAACAGUAAUCUGAAUUUGUGUUGACACUA